rnacentral:lncRNA from 1 species
GAUUUGAUUUAGGAUUUAGGGUUUGGUUAGGGUUUGGUUUAGGGUUUAGGAUUUGAUUAGGAUUUAGGAUUUGGUUAGGGUUUUAUUUAGGAUUUAGGAUUUGGUUAGGAUUUGAUUUAGGAUUUAGGAUUUAUUUAGGGUUUGGUUUAGGAUUUAAGAUUUGAAUUAGGGUUUGGUUUAGGGUUUGGUUGGGAUUUGGUUUUAGGUUUGUUUAGGAUUUGAUUAGGAUUUGGUUUAGGAUUUGGUUGGGAUUUGGUUUAAGGUUUGUUUAGGAUUUGAUUUAGGAUUUAGGAUUUAGAAUUUUAUUAGGAUUUAAUUAGUUUUAUUAAGAUUCAAUUAGUUUUGGCCUUAGAUUUGAAUGAAGUUCAAUAGGAUUAUAACUAGAAUUAAAUUAAGAUUGAAUUGAUAUGUAUUUGAGUGAUAUUUGUGAUCCUUCUAAUAUUUCUUUAAGAAUUCUUAUUAUUUGUUUGAAAUUUCUUUGAAGU